GGUCCUGUGUGGCUCAGUUGGUAGAGCAUGGCGCUAGCAACUCCAAGGGUCGUGGGUUCGAGUCCCGCUGGGGCCA